UUUGGUUAAGUUAGAAAGGGCGCACGGUGGAUGCCUUGACACUAGGAGUCGAUGAAGGACGGGACUAACGCCGAUAUGCUUCGGGGAGCUGUAAGUAAGCUUUGAUCCGAAGAUUUCCGAAUGGG
rnacentral:rRNA from 1 species